rnacentral:rRNA from 1 species
UACGAAGGGGGCUAGCGUUGUUCGGAAUUACUGGGCGUAAAGCGCGCGCAGGCGGUUCUUCAAGUCAGUGGUGAAAGCCCGGAGCUCAACUCCGGAAUUGCCAUUGAAACUGUAGAACUUGGGGAUGAGAGAGGUGAGUGGAAUUCCCAGUGUAGAGGUGAAAUUCGUAGAUAUUGGGAAGAACACCGGUGGCGAAGGCGGCUCACUGGCUCAUUUCUGACGCUCAGGCGCGACAGCGUGGGGAUCAAACAGG